rnacentral:rRNA from 1 species
UACGAAGGGGGGGGCUAGCGUUUGCUCGGAAUCACUGGGGCGUAAAGGGUGCGUAGGGCGGGGUCUUUUUUUUUAAGUCAGGGGUGAAAUCCUGGAGCUCAACUCCAGAACUGCCUUUUGAUACUGAAGAUCUUUGAGUUUCGGGGAGAGGUGAGUGGAACUGCGAGUGUAGAGGUGAAAAUUUCGUAGAUAUUUUUUUUU